rnacentral:rRNA from 1 species
UAAUACAUAAGUAACCUGCCCUAGACAGGGGGAUAACUAUUGGAAACGAUAGCUAAGACCGCAUAGGUACGGACACUGCAUGGUGACCGUAUUAAAAGUGCCUCAAAGCACUGGUAGAGGAUGGACUUAUGGCGCAUUAGCUGGUUGGCGGGGUAACGGCCCACCAAGGCGACGAUGCGUAGCCGACCUGAGAGGGUGACCGGCCACACUGGGACUGAGACACGGCCCAGACUCCUACGGGAGGCAGCAGUAGGGAAUUUUCGGCAAUGGGGGAAACCCUGACCGAGCAACGCCGCGUGAAGGAAGAAGGUUUUCGGAUUGUAAACUUCUGUUAUAAAGGAAGAACGGCGGCUACAGGAAAUGGUAGCCGAAUGACGGUACUUUAUUAGAAAGCCACGGCUAACUACGUGCCAGCAGCCGCGGUAAUACGUAGGUGGCAAGCGUUAUCCGGAAUUAUUGGGCGUA